rnacentral:rRNA from 1 species
AGUGAACGCUGGCGGUAGGCCUAACACAUGCAAGUCGAACGGCAGCACAGUAAGAGCUUGCUCUUACGGGUGGCGAGUGGCGGACGGGUGAGGAAUACAUCGGAAUCUACUUUUUCGUGGGGGAUAACGUAGGGAGACUUACGCUAAUACCGCAUACGACCUACGGGUGAAAGCAGGGGAUCUUCGGACCUUGCGCGAUUGAAUGAGCCGAUGUCGGAUUAGCUAGUUGGCGGGGUAAAGGCCCGCCAAGGCGACGAUCCGUAGCUGGUCUGAGAGGAUGAUCAGCCACACUGGAACUGAGACACGGUCCAGACUCCUACGGGAGGCAGCAGUGGGGAAUAUUGGACAAUGGGCGCAAGCCUGAUCCAGCCAUACCGCGUGGGUGAAGAAGGCCUUCGGGUUGUAAAGCCCUUUUGUUGGGAAAGAAAAGCAGCAGGUUAAUACCCCGCUGUUCUGACGGUACCCAAAGAAUAAGCACCGGCUAACUUCG